UCAGGAUGAAUGCUGGCGGCGUGGAUGAGGCAUGCAAGUCGAAUGAAUUUAGAUUCAUGGCAGACGAGGUAGGAACACGUAGGUACGUACCCUAAAGUCAGGGAUAAUCCGUCGAAAGGCGGGAUAAUACUUGAUGGUCCCUUCGGGGUAAAGAUUUAUCGCUUUAGGAACGGCCUGCGGGCUAUCAGCUUGUUGGUAAGGUAACGGCUUACCAAGGCUACGACGGCUAGGGGAGGUGAGAGCCUGACCCCACCGAUGGAACUGCGACACGGUCCAUACUCC
rnacentral:rRNA from 1 species